ACCGCUGCCGUUCGGGUUGGUUUCCCGACCGUCGCACUUCUCGCAGGCGCGCGCCAACGUCGGUUAGGGCUGGGUCUCAAAGGCGGUGGGAAAGGUAGGUUUGGACUCUCGGGCCCGAACUGUUACAGUCCUCCGUUUGUCAUGGCCCGGACCUGACCGAGGAGCUUGCGGUGCAUGCCGUUCGGCUAGGGUCCCGUCUUCCCGGUCGGUCGUCGAAUGCGGUGGACUGCGUGCAGUGCGCCGCGACUGCUGCCGGUCGCGAGGGCGGUGAUUUCGUACUAUGCACCCACGACGUUGGCGGUCAUAUGGCCUCAUCCGACCCGUCUUGAAACACGGACCAAGGAGUCUAACAUGUGUGCGAGUCUUUGAGUGAUCGAAACUCCGAGGCGUAAUGAAAGUGAAGGCGACUUCGGUCGCUGAGGUGAGAGCCUUUUUCCACAAAAAAAGGCGCAUCAUUGACCGACCUAUUCUACUCUUAGAAAGGUUUGAGUAAGAGCGCAUCUGUUGGGACCCGAAAGAUGGUGAACUAUGCCUGAGAAGG
rnacentral:rRNA from 1 species